UGCGCAGGCGGACUAUUAAGUCAGUGGUGAAAUCUCUCGGCUCAACCGAGAAACUGCCAUUGAAACUGAUAGCCUUGAGUGUAGUUGUAGUAGGCGGAAUAUAGCAUGUAGCGGUGAAAUGCUUAGAUAUGCUAUAGAACACCGAUCGCGAAGGCAGCUUACUAAGCCAUUACUGACGCUCAUGCACGAAAGCGUGGGGAGCAAACAGGAUUAGAUACCCUGGUAGUCC
rnacentral:rRNA from 1 species